ACUGUGAAGGAAAGGUGAAAAGGACCCCGGGAGGGGAGUGAAAGAGAACCUGAAACCCUGUGUCUACAAGCUGUGGAAGCACUUUAUAUGUGCGACCGCGUACUUUUUGUAGAACGGUCCGGCGAGUUACGCUUACUGGCAAGGUUAAGCACUUCAGGUGUGGAGCCGUAGGGAAACCAAGUCUUAAGAGGGCCAGAGUCAGUAGGAGUAGACCCGAAACCGGGUGAUCUAUCCAUGUCCAGGUUGAAGCUGCCGUAAGAGGUAGUGGAGGACCGAACCCACAUCCGUUGAAAAGGGUGGGGAUGAGGUGUGGAUAGGGGAGAAAUUCCAAUCGAACCCGGAGAUAGCUGGUUCUCCUCGAAAUAGCUUUAGGGCUAGCCUCAUACAAGUCUUGCGGAGGUAGAGCACUGAAUUUCCUAGGGGGCGUCAAAGCUUACCGAAGAAUAUCAAACUCCGAAUGCCGUGUAGAUGUUGUAUGGGAGUCAGACUGUACGAGAUAAGUUGGACAGUCAAAAGGGAAAGAGCCCAGACCUGCAGCUAAGGCCCCAAAAUGUGUGUUAAGUGGAAAAGGAUGUGGGAUUUCGAAGACAACUAGGAUGUUGGCUCAGAAGCAGCCAUACAUUCAAAGAGUGCGUAAUAGCUCACUAGUCGAGAGGUCCUGCGCCGAAAAUGUCCGGGGCUGAAACACACUACCGAAGCUCAGGAAUUAACGUAGUUAAUUGGUAGAGGAGCAUUCUUAAAGGGAAGAAGCAGUACCGAAAGGAGCUGUGGACUUUUAAGAAGAGAGAAUGCCGGAAUGAGUAGCGAGAGGAAGGUGAGAAUCCUUCCGGCCGAAUAUCCAAGGUUUCCAGAGUAAAGCUGAUCUGCUCUGGGUAAGUCGGGGCCUAAGGCGAGGACGAGAGUCGUAGCCGAUGGACAACAGGUGGAGAUUCCUGUACUGCGGUAUGACAGAACUGUGGGGACACGUAAGGAAAGCGGAAGCCGGGAAUGGAAAGCCCGGUGCAAGCGGGGUACCAGUCACUUUGGCAAAUCCGGGUGGCAAUGGGAAGCCGUGAUGCGGAGCGAAAUAAAGUAGCGAAGUCCGUGAGCCAUGCGUCAAGAAAAGCCGCUAUUGUUUAUACCGUACCCGUACCGUAAACCGACACAGGUGGAUGAGGAGAGAAUCCUAAGGCCGGCGGAAGAAGCAUUGUCAAGGAACUCGGCAAAAUGGCCCCGUAACUUAGGGAUAAGGGGUGCCUGGGAAACCAGGCCGCAGAGAAUAGGCUCAAGCAACUGUUUAGCAAAAACACAGGUCUAUGCGAAACCGAAAGGUGAGGUAUAUGGGCUGACGCCUGCCCGGUGCUGGAAGGUUAAGAGGAGAGGUUAGCGCAAGCGAAGCUUUGAAUUUAAGCCCCAGUAAACGGCGGCCGUAACUAUAACGGUCCUAAGGUAGCGAAAUUCCUUGUCGGGUAAGUUCCGACCCGCACGAAAGGCGUAAUGAUUUGGGCACUGUCUCAACAAUGCACCCGGUGAAAUUGAAAUACCAGUGAAGAUGCUGGUUACCUGCGCCAGGACGGAAAGACCCCAUGGAGCUUUACUCCAGCUUGAUACUGGGAUUCGGUAUUGCAUGUACAGGAUAGGUGGGAGGCUAGGAAAUGGUAACGCCAGUUGCCAUGGAGCCAAUGUUGGGAUACCACCCUUGCAGUAUUGGGUUUCUAACCAGCAGCCGUGAUCCGGCUGGGGGACAAUGUCAGGUGGGGAGUUUGACUGGGGCGGUCGCCUCCGAAAGGGUAUCGGAGGCGCUCAAAGGUUCCCUCAGAAUGGUUGGAAACCAUUCGAAGAGUGCAAAGGCAGAAGGGAGCUUGACUGCGACACCGACGGGUGGAGCAGGUACGAAAGUAGGACUUAGUGAUCCGGUGGUAUAAAGUGGGAUUGCCAUCGCUCAACGGAUAAAAGCUACCCUGGGGAUAACAGGCUUAUCACUCCCAAGAGUUCACAUCGACGGAGUGGUUUGGCACCUCGAUGUCGGCUCAUCGCAUCCUGGGGCUGUAGUAGGUCCCAAGGGUUGGGCUGUUCGCCCAUUAAAGCGGUACGCGAGCUGGGUUCAGAACGUCGUGAGACAGUUCGGUCCCUAU
rnacentral:rRNA from 1 species